rnacentral:lncRNA from 1 species
GAGAGUUGAGGAUUAAUAAGGGAGACUCUCGACUGUGGAAUGAAGAACUAGACUAGUUCCGAACAGUGAGCAGAGUGAGAGAGAACGAGGGAGAAGCUGAAGAUCAUCACUGAAUGUCUCCGGAACAUUUAAGCGAGCGAAGUGAGUUCUCACCACCUGAGGUCAUCACUCUGUCGCCGCGCAAAGUGAGUUCUCAUCCCCUGUUGCAGUCUCCAUUCGUCUCGAUUGCGUGGACACAGAAGAGCGGGACAGAUGCACCAUAGGAGAAUGAUGGCCAAGAGAGAAGAAGGAUAUCAAGAAGUAGCAGACUGGAAGAAAAUUGAAGAAGAAAAAGGUUUUUGGAACUCUAGUGAAAUUUUUAUAAAGUGACAAGUGAGACUCCAAUUUAGUGCAAUUGAUUUCAAGUGAAGUGUGAGGACUCAAAUCUGGUUUCACUCACACCAAGGACAUUGAAGAUAUCUUGAAUUUUGAUAUGCCAUGUUUUGUUUUUGUUUAAUGUUGUUUAGCUUUAGCGUUGUAAGAAAUAAAUGAGCAGGGGGUGUGUCUUAUUGGGGGGGGGCCUUUUCAGGCAUCGAUGCUGGCCGGCAGGAGGAGGAGGAGGAGGAGGGGAGAGGACAACGCAGAACUUCAAAAAGGGAAAGUCAGCUCUCAACCGAUUUUAACAGUUCAAUCAAGUUUUCUUUCCUCAUACUUUUCAAUCUAUUUCAGUCUACAUCAUUUCAAUCAUCUGUAUUUAAAAUUUUCAUACAACUUCUAAAGUAAUUAAUUAUUUACAAGUGGCAUCUUUCGAUGUAACUUGUAAAGCUUUUUCUUGUGAAUCAAAUUAAUUUCUUAAAUUAAAUACAUCAAAUUCUAAAGUUUGACUUUUGUAAUUAACUAUUAAUAAUAUAAAUGUAUUGUUGAACUGUUAAAUUCGGUAGUGGGCGACUUGUGUGGAAUUGGUAAUGCAUGUCUAGACCAUCAACCCCCUUUCAGUAGUUUCUCUUUCUAUUAGCUUUGGUAGAAAACCUUCAAUUCUAUUUUCUCAUUGUUUAUUCCCAUUCCUUUCACUUUACAGUUUCAGGUUUUUUUUGUUUGCUUUGGAGGCGAACCUUCAGUUUAAAUUCAAUAUCGAAGUAUAUGUCGAUACAUGGUUAUUUUUAUUUUCUUGAACUUUUAGGAAUGUCCCUUCCAUUUUAGGUUUCAGGUUUUUUUUAUUUGCUUUGGAGGCGAACCUUCAGU